CAACUGCGAUAAGUAGUGUGAACUGCAGAAACCUUGAACACAGAACAUUCGAAUGCACAUUGCGCCACUGGAUAUGCAUCCUUUGGCACGCCUGGUUCAGGGUCGUUAUCCUAAAAUGCACAGCGUGUGCGUGUACGUGCUGCUUGACCAACUUGUGCGCCCAUACAGUUGAUCUUGCAUUUGUGAAGUGCGCCCGGACGGUGUCGAGCCGCGCUGGCAUGGACUUGUGCAAUCCUUUGCGUUCAUGCUCUACCUUAUGAGUAGUUUAGGCGUGUUGCUUGGCACUGUGUUGGGUUGCUUGUGUGCUUGCUUGUGUGCACAAUGAAUGACCAAAUUUUCGACCUGAACUCAGACGUGAGUACCCGCUGAACUUAA
rnacentral:misc_RNA from 1 species